UGAUGUGAGGCGAUCUGGCUGCGAUUAUCUGUCACCCCAUUGAUCACCAGGGUUGAUUCAGCUGAUCUGGCUGGCUGGGCGGGCAUCCUGUUCCUCCCUCAGCACUCCAUGUGCGUCCCUCCCAAAGCUGUGCAUGCUCCAUCCAAGUGAACGACCUUCAGACAGGACCACCGUCCUUUGGUCAAGUGUAGACGAGUAGCUACACUCCCCGCCUACAACCUCCAAACUAGAGUUACAAUCUUAGAAAACCAGAGGGGCACUUCUGCUCUGUCUUAUAGAGUCUCUAGAAGUCAGAACCAACU
rnacentral:snRNA from 1 species